rnacentral:rRNA from 1 species
CAAUACGUAGGUGGCAAGCGUUCAUCCGGAAUUAUUGGGCGUAAACGCGCGCGUAGGCGGUUUUUUAAGUCUGAUGUGAAAGCCCACGGCUCAACCGUGGAGGGUCAUUGGAAACUGAAAAACUUGAGUGCAGAAGAGGAAAGUGGAAUUCCAUGUGUAGCGGUGAAAUGCGCAGAGAUAUGGAGGAACACCAGUGGCGAAGGCGACUUUCUGGUCUGUAACUGACGCUGAUGUGCGAAAGCGUGGGGAUCAAACAGGAUUAGAUACCCUGGUAGUCCACGCCGUAAACGAUGAGUGCUAAGUGUUAGGGGGUUUCCGCCCCUUAGUGCUGCAGCUAACGCAUUAAGCACUCCGCCUGGGGAGUACGGCCGCAAGGUUAAACUCAAAGGAAUAUGACCGCUCUAGAGAUAGAGUCUUCCCCUUCGCGGGACAAAGUGACAGGUGGUGCAUGGUUGUCGUCAGCUCGUGUCGUGAGAUGUUGGGUUAAGUCCCGCAACGAGCGCAACCCUUAAGCUUAGUUGCCAUCAUUCAGUUGGGCACUCUAAGUUGACUGCCGGUGACAAACCGGAGGAAGGUGGGGAUGACGUCAAAUCAUCAUGCCCCUUAUGAUUUGGGCUACACACGUGCUACAAUGGACAAUACAAAGGGCAGCGAAACCGCGAGGUCAAGCAAAUCCCAUAAAGUUGUUCUCAGUUCGGAUUGUAGUCUGCAACUCGACUACAUGAAGCUGGAAUCGCUAGUAAUCGUAGAUCMGCAUGCUACGGUGAAUACGUUCCCGGGUCUGCUA